AUUGAACGCUGGCGGCAGGCCUAACACAUGCAAGUCGAGCGGAUGAAGGGAGCUUGCUCCCUGAUUUAGCGGCGGACGGGUGAGUAAUGCCUAGGAAUCUGCCUGGUAGUGGGGGACAACGUUUCGAAAGGAACGCUAAUACCGCAUACGUCCUACGGGAGAAAGUGGGGGAUCUUCGGACAUCACGCUAUCAGAUGAGCCUAGGUCGGAUUAGCUAGUUGGUGCGGUAAAGGCUCACCAAGGCGACGAUCCGUAACUGGUCUGAGAGGAUGAUCAGUCACACUGGAACUGAGACACGGUCCAGAAUCCUACGGGAGGCAGCAGUGGGGAAUAUUGGACAAUGGGCGAAAGCCUGAUCCAGCCAUGCCGCGUGUGUGAAGAAGGUCUUCGGAUUGUAAAGCACUUUAAGUUGGGAGGAAGGGAAGUAAGUUAAUACCUUGCUGUUUUGACGUUACCAACAGAAUAAGCACCGGCUAACUUCGUGCCAGCCGCCGCUGUAACAC
rnacentral:rRNA from 1 species